rnacentral:rRNA from 1 species
GGCUGCGCCUCCAAAUCAGGCAAGUCGACGGAACCAGAAGAGCUUGCUCUUUUGGUUUAGCGGCGGACGGGUGAGUAACACGUGGGCAACCUGCCCUGCAGAUCGGGAUAACUCCGGGAAACCGGUGCUAAUACCGAAUAGUUUAUCGUUCCUCCUGGAACGGUACGGAAAGACGGUUUCGGCUGUCACUGCAGGAUGGGCCCGCGGCGCAUUAGCUAGUUGGUGGGGUAAUGGCCCACCAAGGCGACGAUGCGUAGCCGACCUGAGAGGGUGAUCGGCCACACUGGGACUGAGACACGGCCCAACUCCUACGGGAGGCAGCAGUAGGGAAUCUUCCGCAAUGGACGCAAGUCUGACGGAGCAACGCCNCGUGAGUGACAAGGUUUUCGAUCGUAAAACUCUGUUG